CAGCCGCCGCGGUAAUACCGGCGGCCCGAGUGGCGGCCACUAUUAUUGGGCUUAAAGCGUCCGUAGCCGGGUUGGUUAGUCUCCCGGGAAAUCUGGCCGCUUAACGGUCAGAAUUCCGGGAGAUACUGCCAGCCUAGGGACCGGGAGAGGCCGAGGGUAUUCCCGGAGUAGGGGUGAAAUCCUAUAAUCCCGGGAGGACCACCUGUGGCGAAGGCGCUCGGCUGGAACGGGUCCGACGGUGAGGGACGAAGGCCAGGGGAGCAAACCGGAUUAGAUACCCGGGUAGUCCUGGCUGUAAACGAUGCGGACUUUGUGUCGGACAAGCUAUGAGCUUGUCCGGUGCCGGAGGGAAACCGUUAAGUCCGCCGCCUGGGGAGUACGGCCGCAAGGCUGAAACUUAAAGGAAUUGGGGG
rnacentral:rRNA from 1 species